rnacentral:lncRNA from 1 species
AUGGGGCCCAGAUUUGUGGAGCUGAGGAUGCUUCUGAAACUCUGUUUAAUUGUACUUCCCAAGAGCUUGUUCAGCAAUGCCAAUACAUUAUGGAAUCGAUGGGGAACAGGAAGAAGACAAGCAGGAAACUGUAAGUGCCCAAUACAAAUGUAUUUCUAUGACUUUAUAAUGGCUUGAGCAGAUGUGUUAUUUUAUAUUCAUCUAGGUGUAUUUGGUUAUUAAUACUUUAAGACAGUUCCCGACCAGAGUUGCUGCUCUGUUGCUAAUCAGUAACCCUUUGUUUCUCUUUCGAAAAGAACUGUCUUUUUAAAAGAUCCUUCUGAGCACUUCUAUUUGACUAUGUAACCAUGGGUAUAUGGUUAGUUACCAGUAACAAAUCUGUGGGAGUGAAUCAUUUGGCUUAGUUUUAGACCUAAAUAAAAAUUGUGUCUUUGAGAUCUGAAAAAUUUAA